AUAGGUAGCAUGUAUGUUAUUUAAAAAUUGCUUUCAGCCGCUGAUCCUUGCAGCAAUACACAGAAAAAAAACUUGUGUAUGUCGGACUACUGUAAUAUUGAAUGCGUAAACACAAUGUUCGGCCAUUAAGUGGAGACACAGGCAUUUUAAUUUUAAGUUCACUAUUUAGAAAUAUUUAAUUUUUAAACUGUGUUUUAUUAUAUCUUAUUAUUUUAUAUUAUUCAAACGUCUUUAACAACUAUCCAUAUUUGCUCUAAGGUUGGGAAUAAAAAAUAAGCUUGGCAAAUUUGUACUUUUAUUUUGCUUUCUUAAACCGGAAAUACAUCUAAAUCGGAUUAGACCUUUGAGUAGACUGACCUCUACUGUUAAAAGUUUUUAUAGUACAUGUUUAGACCUAUACAUGCCGCGUAGAAAGGGUGUUUAGAUAAUCAGUUACGUUUCUUUUUGCUGUCUUUAAAGUUUGUUUCCGAUAAUCUCUAAUUUAAGAAAGACUAAUCUAUUAUGCAUUGUGUCGGAGGCUUGAAUUGUUACAGAGGAAUUUGCAGCACAAAAUAUGAUCCCUAAAGACUGUCAACAUGUGGAUUGGUAUGCUAUGCACACAGUAUGGCCAGCUUACUGAAGAUUGAUCUGACAAAAAAGAAGGGCAAUGUUCAAAAAACAGAUGAACAGUUAAGGCUUAAACUGACAAGAUGACAACAAAGAGCUUCCAUCUCAAGUAAAUGAUGAAAUACAGCCAAACAAACAGGAAAACACAGAUAAGGAGCUUCUUCAGAACCUCUAUAAGACAAGAGAUCAAAGAAUUAGCAAUAAUGUAGAAAGUUGGAGAGGCAACCUGAAACUAAAUUUGACAGAGUCCCGAGGAGACAAAGGAUGUAAGUAGCACUUUUUUGAUAAAAACAUAAAUAUGCCUAUGAAAUUAAUAUAAGUUUUGGUUACUUGCACGUCUUGAUGACGUGAACUGUAUUUUUUCCCAAGUUAUCACUCAGAGCUUUAUACUCAUCUUUUCA